UCCACGUUCAAAAGCAAACAGAAACACAUAAAAGUGAAGAGAGAGGGAGAGAGAUGAGGUUUUUGUGGUUGGUCUUGCACUUAUGCUGCUUAAUGCUUCUCUUUUCUUCAUCUUCUCAGGUUACGAUGAAAUAUUAUCCAACUCCUCGAAGGAUUAAUACCGACAGCGGCCGCGAUAGAGAUCAGGCAAGACCUGCACCCCCGCCUCCGAGAGGAAGACAACCCGGGCGUCCCUGAGCUUUAGACUAGGUUAUAUAUAUAUAUAUAUAUAUAAGCUCUUGGAUGAUCACGUGAUUAUUGUAGGUCAUGAAUUCUUAAAAUUCACCUAGAUAAUUGCAUUUCCCGUUCAAAAACUUGUUAUUUAUUUAAAAGAAAAGAGAACUUGUUAAUUAAGUGGAUCAUCCAGAAGUUCUUCCUGUUUAAUUACUUCGGUAAUUAGGAAACUCUUCAUCUUUGUUUCUUUAAUUUUCGUUACUUCCGAUGUAUAAUGUAAACAUGUGUUUUUUCAA